rnacentral:rRNA from 1 species
GUAGGUGGCAAGCGUUGUCCGGAAUUAUUGGGCGUAAAGCGCGCGCAGGCGGUUCUUUAAGUCUGAUGUGAAAGCCCACGGCUCAACCGUGGAGGGUCAUGGGAAACUGGAGAACUUGAGUACAGAAGAGGAAAGCGGAAUUCCACGUGUAGCGGUGAAAUGCGUAGAGAUGUGGAGGAACACCAGUGGCGAAGGCGGCUUUCUGGUCUGUAACUGACGCUGAGGCGCGAAAGCGUGGGGAGCAAACAGGGAUUAGAUACCCUGGUAGUCCACGCCGUAAACGAUGAGUGCUAAGUGUUAGGGGGUUUCCGCCCCCUUAGUGCUGCAGCUAACGCAUUAAGCACUCCGCCUGGGGAGUACGGCCGCAAGGCUG